rnacentral:rRNA from 1 species
GUGGGGAAUAUUGGGCAAUGGGCGAAAGCCUGACCCAGCAACGCCGCGUGAGGGAAGAAGGUUUUCGGAUUGUAAACCUCUGUCCUAUGGGAAGAAGGAAGUGACGGUACCAUAGGAGGAAGCCCCGGCUAACUACGUGCCAGCAGCCGCGGUAAUACGUAGGGGGCGAGCGUUGUCCGGAAUUACUGGGCGUAAAGGGUGCGCAGGUGGCCUGACAAGUCAGAUGUGAAAUACCGAUGCUUAACGUCGGGGCUGCAUUUGAAACUAUGAGGCUGGAGUGCAGGAGAGGGAAGCGGAAUUCCUAGUGUAGCGGUGAAAUGCAUAGAUAUUAGGAGGAACACCAGUGGCGAAGGCGGCUUUCUGGACUGUAACUGACACUGAGGCACGAAAGCGUGGGGAGCAAACAGGAUUAGAUACCCUUGUAGUCC